AGUUCGCACUGGGGAUUGUUGCUCCUCAAUUUACUGGAGUUUCCAUCAUUGAAGAUGGAAGUGAAGGUAUAACCAUGGAGCUGGAGAUGCAGUGGGAUGGCAAUCCAAGUAUAAUACUUGAUAUGAAGACCUAUCUUGGAGUUGCAUUGCCUGUGCAGGUGAAGAAUAUUGGUUUCACUAGGUUGUUCAGGCUGAUCUUUAGGCCAUUAGUGGAUGAGUUUCCAUGCUUU